rnacentral:rRNA from 1 species
AGAGUUUGAUCCUGGCUCAGGAUGAACGCUAGCGGCAGGCCUAAUACAUGCAAGUCGAACGGAUUUGGAAGCUUCGGUUUCCAGAUUAGUGGCGCACGGGUGCGUAACGCGUAUGCAACCUACCUUUUACUGGGGGAUAGCCCGGAGAAAUCCGGAUUAAUACCGCAUAACACUAUUUGAGGGCAUCUGAGGAUAGUUAAAGAUUUAUUGGUAAAAGAUGGGCAUGCGUGCCAUUAGCUAGUUGGUGCGGGUAACGGCCCACCAAGGCGACGAUGGCUAGGGGUUCUGAGAGGAUGAUCCCCCACACUGGUACUGAGAUACGGACCAGACUCCUACGGGAGGCAGCAGUAGGGAAUAUUGGGCAAUGGACGAGAGUCUGACCCAGCCAUGCCGCGUGCAGGAUGAAGGCCUUCUGGGUUGUAAACUGCUUUUAUCUAGGAAGAAAAAACUCUUGCGAGAGGAACUGACGGUACUAGAGGAAUAAGCACCGGCUAACUCCGUGCCAGCAGCCGCGGUAAUACGGAGGGUGCAAGCGUUGUCCGGAUUUAUUGGGUUUAAAGGGUGCGUAGGCGGCCCAUUAAGUCCGUGGUGAAAGCCAACAGCUCAACUGUUGAACUGCCAUGGAUACUGAUGGGCUUGAGUACAGACGAGGUAGGCGGAAUGGAUGCUGUAGCGGUGAAAUGCAUAGAUAGCAUCCAGAACCCCGAUUGCGUAGGCAGCUUACUAGGCUGUAACUGACGCUGAGGCACGAAAGCGUGGGGAGCGAACAGGAUUAGAUACCCCGGUAGUCC